UCUUUUUUGUUUUUCAUUUAUUUUCUCUUUGACUCAGUCUUCUUCAUUAUCCUUGAGCAGGCACAAACCCAAAUUUGUUCAACCAACAAUUUUUUUUUCGCAAGCUCUAUUUCAUAUCUUUUUUCUUUCUUGCCUUCCACCACCACUAAAGGUUGGCUUGCCGGACUUUGAAAACGCCCAAGUCGAAGCCAUGGCGGGUGAGACUUAGCUACACACAAGGCCCAAACAUCACGGGGAGAGAGAAGCGGUAGAUUUGUUCAGAUCUUAUCGACGGCGAGCGGAGGUAGUCCACUUUUUUUGGUCAGAUCUCGUCGACAGAGAGUGCCAUGGAUGACGAAAGUGAUGAGCUCUUUGUAACCAACAUAAACCACUCUCUAAAGCCCACUCCCACACCAUCGUCGACGUCCACCGCACCAAGAAGAGGGAUGAAGAAAUUGGGGCUGGGUAGUGAGUACCAAAUCGUUUAAUUUCAGCUUAGCUAUGAACACCUCAACUCAAGUUUUGAGAUACUAUUGAGUAUGAGCUAAUUGUUUCCAACUUGAAGAGAGAAAGAAGAGGCUUGUCUUCCAGUGACUAGUAGUGAAUGAUGACAACAACAACAAUUCACAUACAAUUUUAAUUGCUUCAAAUGGCAGUAUUGAAGAUGCCUCUUCAUAUGUUGUUGAUUCAGACUCAGAUUAUGGUCGUUUGAUUCAAGCUCUAUUCUACUCUUCUUAAUUAAUUACUUUGAGGUUGGAGAUAUGCAAUCCAAUACUCUUGUCUUGAACCAUAUAUCUCUUUUACAGUGUUUAAUUGGAUAAAGAGUUUAAAACCAUUUCUCCAAUUGCUCAUCCAUCUUCUGAGGCUGUCUCUUUAUUAAUGUCUCCUGAUAUGGGGCAACAUGGAAUUGGAGGCCUUGGUAUGCAAUGCAAGGGGAAUGAACAAUAUGCUAUUCAUAACCAUUUAUUUGCUAUGGAAUGGAAAGCCAUCCAAGUAACUUAUCAGCAUCAAAGGUAUAUAUAUUAGGGAAAUUUGAAUUCCUAUACUUACAUAACCUAAAAAUUUGUCCCCUAAAUGCAAAGUUAUUAAAAUUGGUAAUAUAUGACCAUUUUAUCAAUUUUCCUAAACUACCCCUCUCAUUUGUAAUCAGCCUCUCUCUUCCUCUCUCUUCGUCUCUCUCAGCCGAUUUCCCACACUAAACCCACACAGCCGCUCGCUCGCCGGACCCGUGACACCCAAACGACCAGGGAACACAGUCGACCAACGCAACCCGAACCCUCGCAACCCCGACCUUCGACGAACUCCCAACAUCGACAAUGUCAAAGGGAAGUGCACAUCUUAUAAUUCCAGUGUCGGACCAUUACACUGGCCGUGUCACAUGGCGCGGGGGUAGUUACUACUACCCGAAGAUUAAGGCUAAAUUUGAAGAAUUUAACCUAUUGGACAGGGUGAGGGAAUCCCCUUUCAAACAGUUUUUCGAGAGAGCGCCCAUACAAUUUUCUGGAGCAUUUUUUCAUCAGUUGAUGCUUCACAAAAUAAAAUCUGACAAGCCGGACGAGGUGCAUUUCUAUGUGGGAAGGAAGAGAUGUAGAUUUGGGAGGGUGGAGUUCGGCUUGGUCACCGGGUUAAACUUAUUGCCGGCCACUGCGAGGAAGACAUCAAACAAAAUGGAAGCUCUGACCGGUUGAUUCAGGAAUAUUUCAACGGUAGUGCUUCGAUCACCUUCGGCCAACUGCGCAGAGUUUUUGAGAGCUGCACAGAAGCUGAUGAUGUUUACAAGUUGGGGAUGGCCUUGUUUGUUAUGGGCGUCCUCACUGGUAAGGAGGAGAAGACUGCCGUUCCUCCUUUUGUGAUAAGAAUGGUUGAUAACCUUCCAUUCUUCUACGAGUAUCCCUGGGGAAAGAUUUCUUACACCAAGCUGAUGGAAAGUUGUAACAAGGAUUACUUGGAUGUGAAGAAUAAGAUGUUGAAAAAGAUUGAGAAGGGAGUAACUCAGAAGGAGGCAAAAUACUCAGCCU